rnacentral:lncRNA from 1 species
AAGCAAUGUUCUCCUGAGGUUGAAGCAGAUGUGUGUGGCUCUCCUCCUGACUCUCUAUUUUGAGACUCUAAGUUGAGAGCACAAAGUGAAUGGCGAUUUUUACAGCCCAGAAUGCUAAGUACUGAAUGGCACAAUAUUACUAUGGAUUCUAGAAAAAAGAGGUACAAGGUGUUGUAACAUGAGAGCUGCAUUGACUAUCUGACCAUCAAUAAGUUGGUAGUGCUCAGAUGGUGUGUUAUUCUCAGUGUUAUGGAUCUUGCUCAUGUCUGACUCAUUUCUUCUGCAUUUUCACAGAAUCAUAGAACCAUUAUGGUUGGAACAGACCUCUAAGAUCAUCUAGUCUGACCAUCAACACAUCAUCAGAGAUUUGCAUUGCUCAUCCUUCUGGACUCCAAGGGAAACAUCCAGACUCUGUGAACUGAGGAUGACAGAAAGCUGAUGCCAGUGAAAGUGAAAGGGAACGCACCCAGGGCUGCUGGGGAGACCUCGGCUCGUAUGGAGGUAAAGAGGGGCGGAGAGAAGCCAGGAAGGGAAAGAAGGAUCGGAGCAGAGAGGGAAGGGAGACAAAUGGGCAGCCCUAUCUAUCACUGCCUGUCCGAAGAGAAAAAGCGGGGGG